rnacentral:rRNA from 1 species
CCUACGGGGUGCUGCAGUGGGGAAUAUUGGACAAUGGGCGAAAGCCUGAUCCAGCCAUGCCGCGUGUGUGAAGAAGGCCUUCGGGUUGUAAAGCACUUUCAGUGGGGAAGAAAGCCUUGGGGCUAAUACCCUCGAGGAAGGACAUCACCCACAGAAGAAGCACCGGCUAACUCCGUGCCAGCAGCCGCGGUAAUACGGAGGGUGCGAGCGUUAAUCGGAAUUACUGGGCGUAAAGCGCGCGUAGGCGGUCUGAUAAGCCGGUUGUGAAAGCCCCGGGCUCAACCUGGGAACGGCAUCCGGAACUGUCAGGCUAGAGUGCAGGAGAGGAAGGUAGAAUUCCCGGUGUAGCGGUGAAAUGCGUAGAGAUCGGGAGGAAUACCAGUGGCGAAGGCGGCCUUCUGGACUGACACUGACGCUGAGGUGCGAAAGCGUGGGUAGCAAACAGGAUUAGAUACCCCAGUAUC